AGAGUUUGAUCCUGGCUCAGGAUGAACGCUGGCGGCGUGCCUAAUACAUGCAAGUCGAGCGAACGGACGAGAAGCUUGCUUCUCUGAUGUUAGCGGCGGACGGGUGAGUAACACGUGGAUAACCUACCUAUAAGACUGGGAUAACGUCGGGAAACCGGAGCUAAUACCGGAUAAUAUUUUGAACCGCAUGGUUCAAAAGUGAAAGACGGUCUUGCUGUCACUUAUAGAUGGAUCCGCGCUGCAUUAGCUAGUUGGUAAGGUAACGGCUUACCAAGGCAACGAUGCAUAGCCGACCUGAGAGGGUGAUCGGCCACACUGGAACUGAGACACGGUCCAGACUCCUACGGGAGGCAGCAGUAGGGAAUCUUCCGCAAUGGGCGAAAGCCUGACGGAGCAACGCCGCGUGAGUGAUGAAGGUCUUCGGAUCGUAAAACUCUGUUAUUAGGGAAGAACAUAUGUGUAAGUAACUGUGCACAUCUUGACGGUACCUAAUCAGAAAGCCACGGCUAACUACGUGCCAGCAGCCGCGGUAAUACGUAGGUGGCAAGCGUUAUCCGGAAUUAUUGGGCGUAAAGCGCGCGUAGGCGGUUUUUUAAGUCUGAUGUGAAAGCCCACGGCUCAACCGUGGAGGGUCAUUGGAAACUGGAAAACUUGAGUGCAGAAGAGGAAAGUGGAAUUCCAUGUGUAGCGGUGAAAUGCGCAGAGAUAUGGAGGAACACCAGUGGCGAAGGCGACUUUCUGGUCUGUAACUGACGCUGAUGUGCGAAAGCGUGGGGAUCAAACAGGAUUAGAUACCCUGGUAGUCCACGCCGUAAACGAUGAGUGCUAAGUGUUAGGGGGUUUCCGCCCCUUAGUGCUGCAGCUAACGCAUUAAGCACUCCGCCUGGGGAGUACGACCGCAAGGUUGAAACUCAAAGGAAUUGACGGGGACCCGCACAAGCGGUGGAGCAUGUGGUUUAAUUCGAAGCAACGCGAAGAACCUUACCAAAUCUUGACAUCCUUUGACAACUCUAGAGAUAGAGCCUUCCCCUUCGGGGGACAAAGUGACAGGUGGUGCAUGGUUGUCGUCAGCUCGUGUCGUGAGAUGUUGGGUUAAGUCCCGCAACGAGCGCAACCCUUAAGCUUAGUUGCCAUCAUUAAGUUGGGCACUCUAAGUUGACUGCCGGUGACAAACCGGAGGAAGGUGGGGAUGACGUCAAAUCAUCAUGCCCCUUAUGAUUUGGGCUACACACGUGCUACAAUGGACAAUACAAAGGGCAGCGAAACCGCGAGGUCAAGCAAAUCCCAUAAAGUUGUUCUCAGUUCGGAUUGUAGUCUGCAACUCGACUACAUGAAGCUGGAAUCGCUAGUAAUCGUAGAUCAGCAUGCUACGGUGAAUACGUUCCCGGGUCUUGUACACACCGCCCGUCACACCACGAGAGUUUGUAACACCCGAAGCCGGUGGAGUAACCUUUUAGGAGCUAGCCGUCGAAGGUGGGACAAAUGAUUGGGGUGAAGUCGUAACAAGGUAGCCGUAUCGGAAGGUGCGGCUGGAUCACCU
rnacentral:rRNA from 1 species